AUAUAUACAUAUAAAAAUUUAGAACUCAGUAACUUAAAAGACUAGAAUCCCGAACCCAUAAGCUUCAAAUCCUUGCUCCGCCUCUACAAGUAUCCUACAAUUCAAGGUAAAGAACACUAUGGAAAACUUAUUUGCUUAUAUAUAUAUAUAUA